GCUAAUGCAAAAAAUGUCAGU
rnacentral:miRNA from 1 species